rnacentral:tRNA from 2 species
GCACUAGUAGCUCAGUCUCAGAGCGUCGGUCUUGUAAACCGGAUGUCGGAGGUUAGGUUCCUCCCUAUGGCC